CAUCACCUUCUGAUUCGUGAUUUCUCUUCCACAUCCUUCUUUUUCUCCACAUCAAUCUGAAACCCGACCUGUGUGAUUCUGUGUAUCCUUCCUCUUUCCACCCACUUCUCACCAAUCCAUCAAGUGGGUCUUUUCCGAUUGAUCUGAUGAAGUUUUACUUUCGGCCGCCGCUUGAUGUUUCCAACCAUUCACGUCUCUACACCUCAAUCCCUCAACUAUUCAUUCGUCAUCCCUUCUCAUCAGUUGCCCAACUUUUAGGGUUGAAUGCAUCAACAAAGGUUCAUCUUUGCGGCAUACUUGCUUCCUGGGGAUUUAAGCAGAGAAGGAAGAAUUGAAUGUAUGCAAAAAUGGCAUGGAGAGUUGUUUUAGAUUCUGGAGUGUUGGGGUUGUGCUGUUUUGCCUUUGGAAGAGAGCCUUGCGGGUUUGUUGAUGGCUUAUGGCUAUAUAUGGAUACAAAGAGACCCCUCUAUGUAUAGUUUAUGUAGUUAUCCUUUGGGCAUUUGGUAUUCCCUUAUCUUUCUUUGUUCUGUUUUAGUCUUAGUUUAGUCAUUCCUUCUGUUUUCUCCUCUAUUGUAAUUCUAUUGUAUUUGGGUUGAGGCACCCCCUUGUGCUCCCUUUAAUACAACUCUUUGGCUUAUAAAAAAACUUCAAUAAUUACUUUGAAGAGCAAAAAGAGAUGGAAUGCAGGUUUUUCUCCCUUUUACUAAUGCUGUCAUACUACUAAAGGAAAGGGAAAUAUUUCUCAGCGGUUGAAUUUGUAUUUUUAUAUUUUAAGUUAUAUUGUGUUUCCAACUAUGUCACAAAUAGAAUAAGAAAGCCUUGG